CGCCCCCCAAUCACGAGCCCCUCCUCCCUUCCCGAGGGCGAUCCAAAGGCUCUGCUCUAUCAUCUUUGAUCCGAGGAGCUGGACCACGAGGCGUGCGGGGAUGUCAGGUUUAGGAGCCGUUGCUGCGGACGGAGAGAUGGGAACGUGAGCGGCCACUGAGGGCGGCCAGGGUGCCGGUGAGGUCCCCCCUCUGCUCGGUGUGCAGGCUGAGCUUCGGUGGAUGACCACAUGACGGGGCACAACAAGGAGAAACGUUAUGAGUGCGACAUGUGUGUCAAGGCCUGUCAGCACCGCGGGAGCUGCAGAUCCACCGGCGGGUGCAAACGGGAGAACGUCUCUUCGACUGUUCGACGUGUGGCAAGAAAACCAGCCAAUUCACCAACCUGCUGCAGCACAACCGCAUGCACUCCGGCGAGCGGUCCCUCACCUCCUCAGACUGCGGCAAGAGCUUCAAGAGGACCACUCAGCUGAAGAUCCGCCGGCAAGUGCAAAAGGUCGAGAAGUCCUUUGACUGCUCCACCUGCGGCAAGAGCUUUACCCAGCUGUCAGGGCGACGUCAGCAUCGGCGGGUGCACAGCAGUGAGAGGCCCUUCAUCUGCUCCAACUGCGGCAAAGCCUUCACGUCGUCGCCGGACUGAAGAUGCACAGGUGCCUGCACACCAGUGAGCGGCCCUGCACCUGCAGCGACUGCGGCAAGAGCUUCACCUGCUCCAGCAGGCUGCUGGAGCACCAGCGCACCAACACCGGCGAGCGCCCCUACACCUGCGCCUAGUGCGGCAUGGGCUUCACCACUCCUCCAGGCUGCUGUCCCACCAUCAUACAUAUUAACAGCGGCUGCUCCCUCUGUUUCAAGAGCGCACGGGGGCUGCGGGAGGACCAACAUAUACAGACCAUGAUGGAGAAGGUGACGGGGACAUGAGUGGCCAUUGAUGGCAACCAGGGUGCCCGUUAACGCACCCCCCCCCCCCCCCCCCCACCUGCUCCGUGUGCAGGAUGAGCUUUGAGGGGCUGAGCUUCGAUGGAGGACCCCAUGACGGGGCACAACACGCAGAAGCGUUAUGAGAGCGACGUUUGUGGCAAGGCCUGGCAGCACCUAAGCCAGCUGGAGAUCCACCAGCGGGUGCACACGGGAGUAUGACAAGAACUUCACCCUAUACGAGACCCUGGUACGGCACAACCACUUGUACUCCAGCGAGUCACCCUUCGACUGCUCAGGCUGCGGCAAGAGCUUCACCCGCUCCAACAACCUGCUGGAGCACCAGCGCACCCACACCAGUGAGCACCCCUUCACCCGCGCCCAGCAUGGCAAGGGCUUCACCCACUCAUCCAAGCUGCUGUCCCACCAGCAGGUACACACCGGCGACCGUCCCUUCUCCAGGCCCUUCGGCUGCUCCGACUGUAGCAAGAACUUCAACACAGCAUAUGAACUGAAGGCCCACCGGCGAUUCGUCGAGGCUGGGGGUGCACUGGUGGUGUGGAAGAAAAAAUUAUAUCCUUCCUGACUUGAUUUUGAUUGGAAUUGAACAAGGAAAUUAAAGGGUGUUUGGAUGUAACAACUGGCAGCUCUCGCUUGACCAGGUGCAGAAGAGGUACGUGGGAAUCGGCAAAGUAAGACUAGACGUAUUACGUGUUGUCUGGAAAUGUGUUGCAUGGUGGAUGGUAAAUGUAAACAUGAAAUAGUAGAGGAGAUAACGAAGCUUGUUUUCCCUUCUGUGAGGAGUUACUUGAUCACCCCCGUCCCCUACCGCUAGUAGCGUAGAUACGUUGCAGUAAAUGGGAAGCUAAUGUUUGGUUGGAGAGGAGAUGGUGGCGUGGGCCGCCUGAAAGGCCCUUGUAUUGUGUUUGACUUGUAUUAACCAUCUGUUGUUGAAUAAGAUUAACAUAAGCGUGUUAUGACAUAUGAAAUAAUUGGGACCUAUAUAGUAGAUAUAAUAUUUUCAUAUCGCUGUAUCUAACAAAAGUUGUUUACUGCACAGUAAAAACUGUCGGCUAAUUCUGCUGUGAAGUCAGAGAACUGUUGAGUAAUUUUUAUGGAGUCAUCUCUCCAUGAUAUCAUGCAAUAAAAUCUCGAAGCAAA